GGAUAAUUUACAAACCUUACCGAAUGCAAUUGGAGGGCAAGUCUGGUGCCAGCAGCCGCGGUAAUUCCAGCUCCAAUAGCGUAUAUUAAAGUUGUUGCAGUUAAAAAGCUCGUAGUUGAAGUUCUGAUUGCUCAGGUUUCCAGCCUUAGGCGGAGAUACUGACAGUCAUCCGCUUGCAAACAUAUGUUCGAUCUUCACCGGUUGGCUAUGUGAGUAAGCACUUUACCUUGAGAAAAACAGAGUGUUCCAGGCAGGUUUGUCCGGGAUGCAUUAGCAUGGAAUAAUAGAACAUGACUGAAGUCGAUUUAUUGGUUUAAGGCUUUAGUAAUGAUUAAUAGGAACAGUCGGGGGCAUUCGUACUCAGCAGUCAGAGGUGAAAUUCUAAGAUUUGCUGAAGACGAACUAAAUGCGAAAAGCAUUUGCCAAGGAUGUUUUCAUUAAUCAAAGAACGAAAAGUUAGGGGGAUCAAAAGACGAUCAGAUACCGUCCUAGUCUUAACUA
rnacentral:rRNA from 1 species